rnacentral:misc_RNA from 1 species
GAUGAAGAACGUAGCGAAAUGUGAUACUUGGUGUGAAUUGCAGAAUCCCGUGAACCAUCGAGUCUUUGAACGCAAGUUGCGCCCGAAGCCAUUAGGCCGAGGGCACGCCUGCCUGGGUGUCACACGUCGUUGCCCCCCCAUCUACUCCUUCGGGAUUGCGGGGGGCGGAUGAUGGCCUCCCGUGCGCCUCGUCGCGCGGUUGGCAUAAAUGCCAAGUCCUCGGCGACGCACGCCACGACAAUCGGUGGUUGCGAAACCUCGGUUGCCCGUCGUGUGCGGUCGUCGCGCAUCGAGGGCUCGAAAAAAUUGCCGGGCUCCGGCUCGGCUUUCAACGCGACCCCAGGUCAGGCGGGGUUACCCGCUGAAUUUAAGCAUAUCAAUAAGCGGAGGA